CAUCUGGCAAUGGAAAGAGACAGAGACAGAGACCCACACUGGAGCACUGGACUGAGCUCCCAAGGUCCAAAUAAGGAGCAGAAGGAGGGAGAACAUGAGCAAGGAAGUCAGGACCACGAGGGGUGCACCCAUCCACUGAGAUGGUGGGGCUGAUCUAAUCGGAGUUCACCAAGGCCAGCUGGAUGAUGGAGCAUGUGAUCAAAUGGACUCCCUGAACAUGGCUGACAAAGAGGGCUGACUGAGAAGCCAAGGACAAUGGCACUGGAUUUUGAUCCUACUGCAUGUACUGACUUUGUGGGAGCCUAUUCUAUUUGGAUGCUCACCUUCCUAGACCUGGAUGGAGUGGGGAGGACCUUGGACUUUCCACAGGGCAGCUCCUAUUAUUGUGAUGCCAUCCACCAUGAGUUCUCAGCAGAAGUCAAAAUGAUGGGGUGUUGAGCUUCACUUUCACCUUCAAAGGUGGCCAGGACGAACAAUCUGCUCUCUGCAACAGACAGUCAUUAGGUGGCACAGGUGACCCUCAAAUUUAUGACUUCAGCCUGUUUCCAGAGUGUUGGUUUACAGAUGUGCACUAUCCUGAAAGGAGAAGGCCUGCAUGGUAUAGAUUUAAAUGAUCUUGUUGUUAGAGCAAGGAGAAAGAAUGGGUUUUGAGGACUAUAAUUUAUAUGUGGAUUUUCAAUGGCUUUUAUAAACCUCGAUCUCCAACUGCAGCUCACUAAAGAGACAUGUUCUACCUGUGGGGACUUACCUGUGUGUAUGUUCUGACCCUUGCUGUGCACUGGAGCCAACAAAUCUCCACCUUGUUUUUCUUAUAGCCCUGAGCCUAUUCCAAAGGUCUUUUGGUACAUCUAUGUACCUUCCCAUCCUGGUACCCAUUUAUGUAAAACAGGCUUUAUUUUUCUCUCUGUCUAUAGAUACUUAUCUGUUCUGGGCUGUACUAGCUUCCUCUAAUUCACAAACUGGAAAUUCUUAAAAAUUCAACUACCAUAUAAAUUAUUUCUUUUCCCUAAAGUUGAAGGAAGACCAAAAUUGCAUAUUAAGGAAGUUAUUUAUAUUGUGAACUAUAAGUCUUUGCCCCAACUCUCACAGGUAUUUUUACUUAGUGUUGCAUAUGCGGGUUGCUAAGGCAACCCUACUUACUCUCUCCAUCACCUUUUGACCAGAUACAGAUUGGGGAAAGGGGCCAUAAAAAUGAAUUUUAUGCUUAGUUAUGAAAUAACAUUAAAAUAAUUUUAUCAUUGACUAAGAAAAACAAAAUUGAAAAAUGAAAACUGAUGCUGGAAAGUCACAAGGGACAUAAGCUGCUAUUUCUCAUGACUCCAUAGAACAUCAUUUAUAGCUGAAUGCGUAGAUGGCCCUUAACAACACAAUGAAUUAGCCAAACAUUCUUUGGCUAAAUCUAUUUAUACUUGUUCUUUUUCCAAGCCUGUUUUAAACCAGGUACUAAAAGCUAUCAAAGUCUAAAGUUAGCCCUGGCCAGCAUUGAGUGCAUUUUAUUGGAAAGUUCAUCAAGUGUUAGACUGUCAAAUAGCAAGCUGUCUGUUACAGACUGAAAUUUCUAGCAGAUUAGUAGAGAAUCCCAGCAUUACUAGUCCAUAUUACAAUGUUUCCCUUAUUAACAUAUGUUAAAAUAACACCAUUUUGUUAAUAUCAUGUAGAGUUAGUCUAUGCCCCUUGUGGGAAUGCAUGGGUUGGGGAAAAGUUAACUUGCACAAAGAUGUCCCCUUUGCACUGAUGUCCUCUGAACAUCUUAUGCCAGGGUUAGAACAUUUUCUACCCUCAGUCUUUUCUCUGUUCCUUUUGUUUCCUUGCCUUAACAGAGGACCUGCUCUCCGCGGAAACCACUUAUCAAUGUCUAUUUUAUUUCACACAUUGUUAAGAUCUCACACCUAGGAAGUGGAGUGGGUGGUGUCUUUUCUUCCAGUAGCGUUGCCCAGCCAUUAUCUCCCUCCCUCACUGUUGUGGAAACCCAUUUUACUCUGAGAUCUAUGCAGGUAGCAUAUAGAACCUACUUUCUCUUCAUUACUAGCAUGUAAUGGCCUCUAUGCCAUUUCCCUUCAAUUAUUGAUGUUUUCAGGACCUGGGUCACAGUUCCUUCAGUCACACUGUUCCUGCCUGAAUUUUAAGUAAUUGUUUUACAUUUACACAACUGUUCUCCAAUACACUGACUUUUCAUCCCCUAGAAACCUUACCUUUCUUCAACACUGUGGUCAUAAGCAACUGAGGAAGUUUUUAAUUGGCCUUUAGCUGAGAGAGAAAACAGUCUGGUACUUGGGGAAACAAGGAUG